GAGCGUUCUGGGAUGGGGAUCUAGCGAAGUCUACUGUACUUUGAAAAUGUCAGGAGGCACUGCUCAUUGUUCUAAAUCUUUCACACUCCC
rnacentral:tRNA from 1 species